GAUCCUGGCUCAGAUUGAACGCUGGCGGCAUGCCUUACACAUGCAAGUCGAACGGUAACAGGGAGCUUGCUCCGCUGACGAGUGGCGAACGGGUGAGUAAUAUAUCGGAACGUGCCCUGGAGUGGGGGAUAACUAGUCGAAAGAUUAGCUAAUACCGCAUACGAUCUACGGAUGAAAGUGGGGGAUUCGCAAGAACCUCAUGCUCCUGGAGCGGCCGAUAUCUGAUUAGCUAGUUGGUGAGGUAAAGGCUCACCAAGGCAUCGAUCAGUAGCUGGUCUGAGAGGACGACCAGCCACACUGGGACUGAGACACGGCCCAGACUCCUACGGGAGGCAGCAGUGGGGAAUUUUGGACAAUGGGCGCAAGCCUGAUCCAGCAAUGCCGCGUGAGUGAAGAAGGCCUUCGGGUUGUAAAGCUCUUUUGUCAGGGAAGAAACGGUCUUGGCUAAUACCUGGGGCUAAUGACGGUACCUGAAGAAUAAGCACCGGCUAACUACG
rnacentral:rRNA from 1 species